ACUCCUACGGGAGGCAGCAGUGAGGAAUAUUGGACAAUGGGCGCAGCCUGAUCCAGCCAUGCCGCGUGCAGGAUGACGGUCCUAUGGUUGUAAACUGCUUUUAUACGAGAAGAAACACCUCUACGUGUAGAGACUGACGGUAUCGUAAGAAUAAGGAUCGGCUAACUCCGUGCCAGCAGCCGCGGUAAUACGGAGGAUCCAAGCGUUAUCCGGAAUCAUUGGGUUUAAAGGGUCCGUAGGCGGUCAGGUAAGUCAGUGGUGAAAGCCCAUCGCUCAACGGUGGAACGGCCAUUGAUACUGUCUGACUUGAAUUAUUAGGAAGUAACUAGAAUAUGUAGUGUAGCGGUGAAAUGCUUAGAGAUUACAUGGAAUACCAAUUGCGAAGGCAGGCUUACUACUAAUGGAUUGACGCUGAUGGACGAAAGCGUGGGUAGCG
rnacentral:rRNA from 1 species